UACGUAGGGCGCGAGCGUUAUCCGGAAUUAUUGGGCGUAAAGAGCUCGUAGGCGGUUUGUCGCGUCUGUCGUGAAAGCUUGGGGCUUAACCCCAAGUCUGCGGUGGAUACGGGCAGACUAGAGGCAGGUAGGGGAGAACGGAAUUCCCGGUGUAGCGGUGAAAUGCGCAGAUAUCGGGAGGAACACCGGUGGCGAAGGCGGCUAUCUGGACCGACAUUGACGCUGAGGCGCGAAAGCGUGGGGAGCAAACAGG
rnacentral:rRNA from 1 species